rnacentral:snRNA from 1 species
GAUCAAAGUGUAGUAUCUGUUCUUAUCAGCUUAAUAUCUGAUACGUGGCCCAUUGNGUCACUACGAUAUUAAACUGAUUUUUAGAACUAGGAGGGGAUGCAGGAGCUUGCUCCGACCCCUCCACGGGUUGGCC